rnacentral:lncRNA from 1 species
AAAUUUAUAAAAACUAAAUUAAAACAUGCAUAGAUUUUUUUUAACUGCCAAAUGGUCAAAACCUUAAAUUGUUUUUAAAUCUGAAAGACUUAAGGACCUUAGGGAAAAAGCCACUCCUAAAACAUAACACUAUUAUUGUAACAGAAGCAGAAAGCAGCUUAACAGACGACAUUAAAGAAAAAACAUUAAAUAACCAUUUAGAACAGUAAACACUGUUAAAAGCUAGAGUUGUAUUCCAAUUUUAAAAGGAAGUAUAACCACUUAAGUGGAUGGUAAUGUUCAAAACUAUUUAAUGUUCUUAUGGAAAUGAUGUUAUUAUCACGUUAACACAAUUUACAAAGCACUGUGAACGAACAUGCGAACAGUUUGAAUUUAGAAUCACAUGUGAUCGUGUUAAUGUCAUUCACCAAGGACAGUCCUCAGGUGUCUAAAAAUAUCUACACUAAAGGUCUGGACAGAGGAAGCAGGGGGACACUUUGUUUCUUAUGAAGAGAGUCACAAUACAGCAAGCGCACUCACAUUAUAGCUACGAUUACACUAGUUACAAUUUUUAACCUUACAGAAUAAAGCUAUAGUAUGUGAAAUUACAAUAUAUUUAUCUUCUUUAAAACCAUUUUUAAAGAAGGGCAGAGCUGUCAUUUUUUUAGAAGUCAAAAACCAGCAGAAAAAUGUAACUGAUAAAUGCAGUCUUUAAAAUAUUUUGUGGCUAAUUAUACGCUAAUUUUCAAAAUACAACAGAAUUUUGGUCCAUGAGGCCCUUAAAAAACAAAAGGAUUUCCAUUUAUCAAUAGAAAUACAAAGUUCAUGAAAAAAUUUCAACACUUAUUAAAACAUCAUUCUACAGAAUGCUUUUUUUUUUGUGGUUGAACACAAGAAAUAUCUCUGAUAAAUAAUGGGUGUGACCAGGUAAAAAACAUACUUUAAUAGACUGUCUCACAAUCUUCUUUUGAAGACCAUCACUAACAGAUUUUCUUUGAAUGUCAACUGAAAUACAAUUAUUAUGUCUUAUAUUAACGUAUAUCAGGAUUUACUGCUUACUACGCCUGCUUUUCUCCCUCUAGGACAGGGAGCAGCAAACUAUGGCCCACAGGCCCAAUCUGGCCUGCUGCCUGUUUCUGUAAGUCAAGUUUGAUUGGCAUGCAGUCACACCCACUCAUUUGCAUAUUGCCUGGGGCUGCUUUCAUGCUGUAAGGGCAGAGGUCACCCAGGAAUUCUCCAGGAGUUGGAUAAUACAAUAGACGAGCCAUACACUAACAGAAUGGCUGGAAAGUUGUACAUCUUAUUUUAUCUUGAAAAAGCAAGUUGGAUAGCAAAAAAAAAAAAAAACAAAUAUACCUUAUGGUAAGUGCCAUUAAAUCAGGGGAAAAACAGCUCGAGAGAGUCCGCAAAACGCACACGCACACAACACAUGCGCACACACACACACACACCCCCCCCAGAGCCACCCUCCCACCUAUCACAAACUAACAGCUACAGUAUAAUCAAAGAAUAUUUGUUUUAUAAAUAUAUUACUGUCUAUAUACAUAUAGAUACAUCCAUAAAAGACAUGUUAAAUAAUUAUCUGUAUAAGCACUACUACUUUAAGUUUUUUUUUGUGUUUUAAAAUUACACAAUCGAUUAAAAUUAUCAAAAUAAUUCUUUAAAAAUACCAGGAAUAAAACCAGUGAAGAGUUGCUUUCCAUUUAAGUGGUUCUAGAUCUUUUCAUUGGUCAUCCAGACUCCAGACUUGGUCCUCCGCAACUCAAGGAAACAGUUCAAUGAAGGAAAAGUUAGCCAUCAAAAGCAUACACUCUCCUAUUUUUAAUACUUCAUAACAAAUAUGUAUGCAUGUAGAUAUAUAUAAAAAUGCUCUUUUUAAUUAUAUUACAUAUUCUCAUAAAUGAAUUUUCAUAAAAACACAAAGUUCAAGUUUCUAACAGUAUCAAAUAUUUUAUACUGGUGUGCAUUUCUUUCAAAUGUUUAGGUCAAUGACAAACUCCAUUAGGAUAGAGAGAUCAUAAAAAAGAGACUGAAAAUUUACGUACCACAUGCAAGAAAGGAGGAAAUACUAAGGGCCAGUAUUUGGCCAGCUGGGUACUAUUCCCUCUGUACCAAGACACAGAGACAACGAACUGGCUGAUUAUCGUGUCAAGUACAGCCCUCUGUCAAUUUUCAGGGGCACAAUGUUCCGAUCUGAAUCCUUUCCUUCUAUCAGUUGACCACUGUCGGCAGUUUCACUACUUACUAACACACCUCUCUCCAGCUACUUAUUAGCAAGUCUGGUAAAAGAUAUGAUCAAGGUGAAAGUUUUGACUAAAAUGAAGGUUUGGGAUCAGCUAUGGAUUUAAUUUAAUAAUGGAUCCAUUUACUUAUUGCUUUAGAUAAUUAAGAACUUGCUGUGUCAAAAGUCUGCCAAAUAUCUCAUUCUUAAGCUCUGAAAGCAACAUCAGUGCUUCGAAAGAAAACGAGGGACAAACUGUCCUCUUGACAUAAGAAAACUGCUAUUUCUUAACUCGCUACUAAUUAGACCGGAGCGUUUGCACGUGGAUAGUUCAGAGCUGCUGACUUUGGGACAGGUGGCGACAAGCUAUGCUAUUUUUCCAGUCCAAAAUCCACGAAGCAAUGACAAAUAGUUAGCUAAAAACGUUAGGAGGCCAGAUUAGAGGUGUGAUAUACAUUUCACCUAAGAUCUCCUUUAAAUAAACUUAGUUUGGCAGAAUCUUCAAAUAAUUAAAAUGUUGAAAUAAAAAAACGAAGCAAAACUUACAAGUACAAUUUAAGAAGGAUUUCAUACUAACAAAAAAAGGCUUAUAAUGCGACUAACAUAGAAGGUCCUAGGCAUUUGUAACCCGAAUUUUGGCACUGGUUUAGCCUCUACGUUUAAACUUGUUCUACAGAGAGUGACUGACGACAUCAGGAGAACAAUUUCACGAGUGGGUAGGGCUCUCAGACAGAUGCCACUCAGAACGGUGUGUGUGGCACCAUCUGAAUUAUUUCUGGGUAGAGACGAGUGCCACACUCACCUCAAAAACAACAGCAAUAAUUGUGUAGAACACCACUUUCCUGAAUUAAGUUUGCUGAACACGGUUCAGAUUAUUGGAUAUGUCAAUAUGCACAAUGCCUUUUAGAAGCAUUUACUGUAUACCCAAAUGCUACUUCAUGCGACACACAGUGUCACACAAGUAGUGAAAAUGUUAUCCUAGUCAAAGGUGCUUGGACAUUAUUUUCAGGCAGCAUUUUACCUUUAUUUUAAGUUAAGUUCACACUAGAUAAGUUUUAGGAGAAAGAAAAUGCCAAUAAAUUUAUUUAAUAUAUUUUAAUAUAUUAUAUAAAACUAAGACAGACACUUUUAUUUACCUAAAUUGUUACUUUUAUUUUCUACGCUAUUCUAGACUUCAAUUUUACUUAAAAAAAUUUGUAUUUAAAUAAGGGAUAAAAUGUUGCCCAAAAGUCUAAUCAUAGUUACACACUU